rnacentral:rRNA from 1 species
GUGAGGAAUUUUCCGCAAUGGGCGAAAGCCUGACGGAGCAAUGCCGCGUGAAGGAUGAAGGCCUAUGGGUUGUAAACUUCUUUUCUUAGAGAAGAAUAUUGACGGUAUCUGAGGAAUAAGCAUCGGCUAACACUGUGCCAGCAGCCGCGGUAAGACAGAGGAUGCAAGCGUUAUCCGGAAUGAUUGGGCGUAAAGCGUCUGUAGGUGGCUUCAAAAGUCUCCUGUGAAAGAUCAGGGCUUAACCCUGGGCCGGCAGGAGAAACUCUGAGGCUAGAGUUUGGUAGGGGCAGAGGGAAUUCCCGGUGGAGCGGUGAAAUGCGUAGAGAUCGGGAGGAACACCAAAGGCGAAAGCACUCUGCUGGGCCACAACUGACACUGAGAGACGAAAGCGAGGGGAGCAAAAGGGAUUAGAAACCCCUGUAGUCC